rnacentral:rRNA from 1 species
UCGAGGAUAUUUAGCAAUGGACGAAAGUCUGACUAUGCGACGCCGCGUGCAGGAUGAAGGUCUUCGGAUUGUAAACUGCUUUUGUUAGGGAAGAAACCUGUGUUAUUAAUAGUAACACAGCUGACGGUACCUGGCGAAUAAGCCACGGCAAACCCUGUGCCAGCAGCCGCGGUAAUACAGGGGUGGCAAGCGUUACUCGGAAUUAUUGGGUGUAAAGGGCAGGUAGGUGGUCUUGUAAGUGAGGGGUGAAAUCCCAUGGUUCAAUCAUGGAACUGCCUUUCAAACUGCUAGACUUGAGAGUGUUAGGGGAGAAUGGAAUUCCCGGUGUAAGGGUGAAAUCUGUAGAUAUCGGGAAGAACACCAACAGCGAAGGCAAUUCUCUGGGACACUUCUGACGCUGAACUGCGAAAGCUAGGGGAGCAAACAGA